AAUUAAUGGAGCUGGGCAAGUUCUAUCUGGAGACAAGUUUGCUAAAGGUUAAUUUUAUUCACUUUUAUCAGGACAAGUUGCAGCAAUCAACUCUGACUUAAACAAUAGCGAAAGGGCAUUGGUGAGGACACCAGGAAGCUGAUGAAUACACAGCCUUCAGCAACAUCGGGAGUCAGAGCUGCUCCAGGGAUCUUGGCAGGAGGGAUUUGUGGCUCUCCUUCCAGAAUGCUGUCAAGGGUGACAGAGGCCUAAGCACCUUUCAUCCUCAUGUAAUUUGUGCUCCAGAUUUGAAGACCAGGGUGGAAGAACCUCAUUGGCUUUCCUUAUGUCACCUGCUCUGCUAAUAGGUGGUAUCGUUUGAUUGGCACCUCUGCCAUUCCCACGUAGAGUGGAAAAGGGCAAUCAGACAGAAACAGAAGGUGCCGUCUGCCUCCCUCCUCCCUACCCCUUCCCCUGCCACCCACAACCCUACAGAUUGGGAAAGGUAGAAUUAGGAAGUAUGUUUAGAAUUUUUGGUGUGUGGUCUGGACCUCUAAGAUGGCUCAUCAUAGCCUAGCUGGAAAAUGGAAAGCCUCCGUCAGAAAUUAAAAAUCAAAUGUAACAGUGCUGUUGACUCUCAUACGACUCUCCUCCAGUCACCCUUCACUUGUCAUGUCAGUGUCAGCAUUUGUGGUAAUGGUUUGGGAUGUGGAAGGGGGAGUGAGAAGGGAG
rnacentral:lncRNA from 1 species